rnacentral:rRNA from 1 species
GAUCAUGGCGCUGCCGUAUCAUAGCAAGUCGAGCGGUAGCAUAGAGAAGCUUGCUUCUUGGGUGACGAGCGGCGGACGGGUGAGUAAUGCAUAGGAAUCUGCCCGAUAGUGGGGGAUAACCUGGGGAAACCCAGGCUAAUACCGCAUACGUCCUACGGGAGAAAGGGGGCUUCGGCUCCCGCUAUUGGAUAAGCCUAUGUCGGAUUAGCUAGUUGGUGAGGUAAAGGCUCACCAAGGCGACGAUCCGUAGCUGGUCUGAGAGGAUGAUCAGCCACAUCGGGACUGAGACACGGCCCGAACUCCUACGGGAGGCAGCAGUGGGGAAUAUUGGACAAUGGGCGCAAGCCUGAUCCAGCCAUGCCGCGUGUGUGAAGAAGGCCUUCGGGUUGUAAAGCACUUUCAGCGAGGAAGAACGCCUAGCGGUUAAUACCCGCUAGGAAAGACAUCACUCGCAGAAGAAGCACCGGCUAACUCCGUGCCAGCAGCCGCGGUAAUACGGAGGGUGCAAGCGUUAAUCGGAAUUACUGGGCGUAAAGCGCGCGUAGGUGGCUUGAUAAGCCGGUUGUGAAAGCCCCGGGCUCAACCUGGGAACGGCAUCCGGAACUGUCAAGCUAGAGUGCAGGAGAGGAAGGUAGAAUUCCCGGUGUAGCGGUGAAAUGCGUAGAGAUCGGGAGGAAUACCAGUGGCGAAGGCGGCCUUCUGGACUGACACUGACACUGAGGUGCGAAAGCGUGGGUAGCAAACAGGAUUAGAUACCCUGGUAGUCCACGCCGUAAACGAUGUCGACCAGCCGUUGGGUG